rnacentral:rRNA from 1 species
GUGGAUUAGAUCCCCUGGUAGUCCACGCCGUAAACGAUGAGUGCUAGGUGUUGGGGAGACUCAGUGCCGCAGCUAACGCAAUAAGCACUCCGCCUGGGGAGUACGACCGCAAGGUUGAAACUCAAAGGAAUUGACGGGGACCCGCACAAGCAGCGGAGCAUGUGGUUUAAUUCGAAGCAACGCGAAGAACCUUACCAGGUCUUGACAUCCUCUGACAAUCCGAGAGAUCGGACUUUCCCUUCGGGGACAGAGAGACAGGUGGUGCAUGGCCGUCGCCAACU